UGAGGAAUAUUGGUCAAUGGGCGAGAGCCUGAACCAGCCAAGUAGCGUGCAGGAUGACGGCCCUAUGGGUUGUAAACUGCUUUUAUGUGGGGAUAAAGUGCGUGACGUGUCAUGCAUUGCAGGUACCACAUGAAUAAGGACCGGCUAAUGCCGUGCCAGCAGCCGCGGUAAUACGGAAGGUCCGGGCGUUAUCCGGAUUUAUUGGGUUUAAAGGGAGCGUAGGCUGUCUAUUAAGCGUGUUGUGAAAUUUACCGGCUCAACCGGUGGCUUGCAGCGCGAACUGGUCGACUUGAGUAUGCAGGAAGUAGGCGGAAUUCAUGGUGUAGCGGUGAAAUGCUUAGAUAUCAUGACGAACUCCGAUUGCGCAGGCAGCUUACUGUAGCAUAACUGACGCUGAUGCUCGAAAGUGCGGGUAUCAAACAGG
rnacentral:rRNA from 1 species